AAAGUGGUACGCGAGCUGGGUUCAGAACGUCGUGAGACAGUUCGGUCCCUAUCUGCCGUGGGCGUUAGAGAUUUGAGAAGAGUUGCUCCUAGUACGAGAGGACCGGAGUGAACGAACCACUGGCGUUCCGGUUGUUUCGCCAGAAGCAUUGCCGGGUAGCUACGUUUGGACGGGAUAAACGCUGAAAGCAUCUAAGCGUGAAGCCUCCUUCAAGAUUAGAUCUCUCUGAUGAAAAUCAGUAAGGAACGUUGGAGACUACGACGUUGAUAGGCUGGGUGUGGAAGUACAGCAAUGUAUGAAGCUUACCAGUACUAAUGAUCCGAGAGACUUAAGUCUAU
rnacentral:rRNA from 1 species